UACGGGGGGGGCAAGCGUUGUUCGGAAUUACUGGGCGUAAAGGGCUCGUAGGCGGCCAACUAAGUCGGAUGUGAAAUCCCCAGGCUUAACCUGGGAACUGCAUCCGAUACUGGAUGGCUUGAAUCCGGGAGAGGGAUGCAGAAUUCCAGGUGUAGCGGUGAAAUGCGUAGAUAUCGGUAGGAACACCCGUGGCGAAGGCGGUCUCCUGGGGCAGUCUUGACGCUGAGGCGCGAAAGCUGGGGGAGCGAACGGG
rnacentral:rRNA from 1 species